rnacentral:rRNA from 1 species
UCGAAUGGGGAGAUUCAUCGUCAGCGAGGUUGACUUUCUUGCAGUCGGCGAUGUUUGAGGCUUGUACAUUUGUGUGUAUUUGUCGAUUUCACGCGGCCGCUUGUUAUGUUUAACUUCGUCGGCGUGCACUUCUCCUCUAGUAGAACGUCGCGACCCGCUGGGUGUGGGUUUAAGGACCAAGUCGGUGACUGUGCCGUCGUUUCGCGACGUACGUGUACAGACGCUUGGACUCCCGACCGACUGCCCGGCGGUACUCGAUGCAAGGUAUCGAGCCGCACUCGAAUGCGUUCAGACUCGUCACAAGCUCGACCAUUUUUUUUGUGUCUGGUUAAGCGGACCUGGUGCCGCCACCGGAGGUGGUCGGCUGUUGGUAGACGAAACUCUCGAACAGGCUUAAUUGUGUAACACAACGAUACUCGUCUGCGACGCUAUUGCUUUGGGUACUUUCAGGACCCGUCUUGAAACACGGACCAAGGAGUCUAACAUGUACGCGAGUCAUUGGGAUAUUUAAACCUAAAGGCGUAUUGAAAGAGAAGAUCGGCCUUGCGCCGGUUGAGGGAGGAUGGGUUACGCGCGCGCUCGCGCGCGCGUAUGUAGCCCCGCACUCCCGGGGCGUUUCGUACAGUUUUCAACUGGAGGCGCACCCAGAGCGUACACGUUGGGACCCGAAAGAUGGUGAACUAUGCCUGGUCAGGAUGAAGUCAGGGGAAACCCUGAUGGAGGUCCGUAGCGAUUCUGACGUGCAAAUCGAUCGUCGGAACUGGGUAUAG